AGUUAUGGCAGCUGUGCGUGGGGCACCUUUGUGUGCGCCGGGACUCUCAGUACCCUCGGUCUGUCAACCCACACACAGCUGCCACCCUU
rnacentral:antisense_RNA from 3 species